AUUGAACGCUGGCGGAAUGCUUUACACAUGCAAGUCGAACGGCAGCACGGACUUCGGUCUGGUGGCGAGUGGCGAACGGGUGAGUAAUGUAUCGGAACGUGCCCAGUCGUGGGGGAUAACGUAGUGAAAAUUACGCUAAUACCGCAUACGAUCUAUGGAUGAAAGCGGGGGAUCGCAAGACCUCGCGCGAUUGGAACGGCCGAUAUCAGAUUAGGUAGUUGGUGGGGUAAAGGCCCACCAAGCCAACGAUCUGUAGCUGGUCUGAGAGGACGACCAGCCACACUGGAACUGAGACACGGUCCAGACUCCUACGGGAGGCAGCAGUGGGGAAUUUUGGACAAUGGGCGCAAGCCUGAUCCAGCCAUUCCGCGUGCAGGAUGAAGGCCCUCGGGUUGUAAACUGCUUUUGUACAGAACGAAAAGGUUUCUACUAAUACUAGGAGUUCAUGACGGUACUGUAAGAAUAAGCACCGGCUAACUACGUG
rnacentral:rRNA from 1 species